rnacentral:lncRNA from 1 species
UUUGAUCAAUCUCAAUCUCUAAGCAAUCUCAACUCUUUCAAAAUUUGUUCAAAAAAAUCUCUGAAAAACUCAAAUCUGUUUUUCUAUUUGUAAAACAAAGUUGUUGUUUGUUAUCAAAUCUUAACAAACUAUUAAUUACAUUUAAAGAUUGGUCAAAGCAUUAAAAACUGGAGCGUAAACAGUUGGAAAAUCAUUUAAUGCUCAAUCAAAGCACAAACCAUUUUUUUGUUAUGGUACCAAAACAAACAAUCGGUUGUUUCCUCGAAUCAAUCGGUUGUUUUGGUUUUGAGAGCAAGUCAGCCAUAAAAACAGUUUUCAACCUUUUCUAAAAACACCUAAGUAUAAAACAAUCGGUUGUUUCGACAAAACAACAGGUUGUUUUUCACUUAGCUUGAAAAACACUUUUCUUUUAAAAAGAUUGAGAGUGUUUAUGCUUUGGAUUCAAUCAAGAGUGGAUUACACAUUAAAUCUACCCCAGAUCCUAUCUAAAGGACAAAUCAGCAACAGCAGGCACAGCCAGCCUUCAUCAUCCAUCAAAGGGUUUGGAUUCUUCAAAGCUUGAACACCACUUGGUUCAACAAUCUCCCCUUAUUUGAUGAAGACAAAUCCCUGAUGCUUGUGUUAUUUCUGAUUGAAUCUGAAGCAGUUCCUGCAAGAUACAGUUUUAAGCAAAGCAUAGAACUUCUGAUAUUUGGUUAGCACAAAGAUAAAAACAGAACUUCAGAACAUAAUAUCAGAGCAAAAAAGGACAAACAAUAUAAAAGCAAAAACCUAUAAGGUUUCACCCAUACAAACUGUUUUGCAAAAAAUUAAAAUAGCAUAAUUCUCCCCCUAUUUGUCUUCACAAAUAGACAAAAAGAAGAUAUGAAAAAGAUAAUUGUUCUUAAUACAUCAUAUUUAAAAAGCAGAAGCAAAAAACAAGAGAAACUGAUACAAACAUCAAAAACAAUUGGUUGUUUCGAUACAUCAACCGGUUGUUUUUCCUCUUUACUCAUCAUCAACGUAUUGAAGAUCAAAGAUCUGGUUCUGAACUACCUCAAUCUGUUCAUCUAAGGUCAUGAAGCAUGCAUCCAUGUUGUUGAACCUGUUAUCAAUGCUCUGGAAGUUGCUUACACAUAGAUCAUGGAGAUUCCUUUGGUUCUCCGCAAAGCCAUCAAGCCUAUUGACCAUGUAUCUCUCAAAAGAAGACAUGGUUAGCAUUCUUUCUUCUAGAUUUUCAGCACCAGUACUUGGUCCAACAUCUUGAUUUGCUUCAGGUUGAUCUUCAUGUUGAAAAUCCAUAUCAUCAGCAUGUUCACCUUCUUCAAGAUCAGCAACAGCACUUGAUGAGGCACCAAGAUCACCAUCUUUGCUAAUCCAUUUGCCACCUACUUUAGUGAAUCCCAUUUUACUGAGAGAUCCAUUGUUCAACUCUUGAGUUGACUUGACCAACUCAAAUGUUUCAUCCUCUAAGUUCACUUCAAAAUAGAGAAGAAAUUUAGAAACCAAAACAGCAUAUGGAUAGUGAUAGUCACUUAACCUCAUUGCCUUUUGCAUGUGCUCUUUCAUGAUGUGGAUCCAAUUUAUUUUGAUCUUCUUCAUAAUGCAGAAGAUGUACACCAGGUCCUCCUCUUUAAGAACAGAAUGAUUGCAGGUUCACUUCAAAAUAGAGAAGAAAUUUAGAAACCAAAACAGCAUAUGGAUAGUGAUAGUCACUUAACUUCAUUGCCUUUUGCAUGUGCUCUUUCAUGAUGUGGAUCCAAUUUAUUUUGAUCUUCUUCAUAAUGCAGAAGAUGUACACCAGGUCCUCCUCUUUAAGAACAGAAUGAUUGCUCCCCCUUGGAGUUAGAAUCCAAGUCACAAUGAGGGCUAGCAACCUUUCAUCAAGCCUUAAGCCACCAACCGAACAAGUCCUAACUUGAGCAUUUUGGUUCUUCAAACAAUUCUUGCAGUAUUGGACUUUGUUGAAAUCCUCCACUACUCCAAGGUUCCCCUUGUUGAUUCUGAGGCCAGAGUACUUAAGACCAGCUACUGCAUUCCACACAUCAUGUGUGAUCUCUAUGUCUACACCUUUUACAUGAGAAACAAGGUUGUUUCCCUCAAACUUGAGAUUUGUGUAGAAAACUCUUAUCAAAUCUGGGUAGAUGUCCCCCUUCAUCUCCAAGAACUUUCUGAGGGAUUGAUCUUUGAGGAGCCUUCUGACAUUUUCCAACUUUUGGCUUUUCAGCCAAUCAAAGCAAACAACCUUGGGGUUGUGUAUCACUUUGGUGCUAGUCUCAAACCUAUACCUCUCAAUUAGAUCAUUAUCACCAGAAAACCAUCCUUCCAGCCUUCCUCCAGACCUUACUGCUCUGGAUUUGACUCUUCUUGAGGUGGGAGGAGUUGAGUCCAUGAUUGGCAGAGAAGAAACAGAGAGAAGCUCACACAAGAAAUGCAAGAGAUGUUGCAAGAGAUGUUGCAAUUGGUUGUUCUUGUGGAAGAGAUCAACUGCAACAGAUUUUAUAGCAAUUAUAGAAUCAAAAAGCAUUCAAUGACAUGAGUGGGUACCAGAUUUUCAGAAAGAGAAGAAUUGACCAUGCCCUGCACUGAAAAACGUCAGAAAAAGCAGAAAAUCACAUGGUCUUCACAUGUGAUCUUUGACUAGUCAUAAAAGCUCUUAAAUUUUCAAGAUUGUGGAAUAUAUUCCUUUAUGACUGUUGUAACUUCCUUCUGAGCGUAAUCAUCUUUCAACACAGGUUCAUUGACCAAGGAUUUUUUCUUUAAUUUGAUCUGCAACAGAUAUAAAUUCAAAAAAGAAAUUAAAUUGAUUUCUUCACAGUGCUGUCAGACUCCAAACAAUCAGUUGUUUCGAGGAAACAAUCGGUUGUUUUUUCUGUAGCAGUUAAAACUGAUUUUGAAUUUUAACUAUGAGCAGAAAGAAUUCAAAGCAGAUGAAAUUAAACAUCUUAAAGAAGGCAUUUAACAUGAAAAAGAACUUAAACACAGAAAUUAAGAACAAAGAAAAGGAAGGUCUUAUCCUUUAUGUUGUUCUUUCAAUGAGUCAUGUGCUUUGUGAUCAAGAAGCCUCUUUUAACUGUUGAGGGCCUUUAGACAGAUGCAGAACAUUGAUUCAACUUCAAUGUUGGUCUUUUUCUUCCAAGAACUUGAUUAGAUGACUCAGUCCUUCACACUUCUUUAGAAUUCCUACACAAGCAUGAGUUCAAGCAAUAAGAUUUGGCCCCUUCACAAAUGUGGGUCCAAUUGAUUUCUUUUUUCAUUUGGAACCUCACAUCCUUUAGGAAUCCAUUUCAUGAAGCCCCUGGGAACAGAAAACUUUCUUAUUUUGCAGAAUCUAACUGAAUGGCCCUUUUUCAUGCAAUAAAAGCAUGUAACAACCGGUUGUUUCGACUUAACAAUCGGUUGUUUUACUGGCUUUCUUGAAAACAAAUUUGAAAACGUGUCUUGUUUGUUUUGUGGAUUAAAGCCUAAACCAGCCUUUCCAAAAACACAGCUUUGAGAUGCCAAGACAUUCUCAAAGUUAGAUUUCCCUUUCGAGAGCUUGUCCACAGUAUCAACAAGAUAAUGCAUUUUCUUCUCAAGGUUUUCACAAUUUUCGCAAAUGAGAGUGUCACACUUGCAAGAAGAAUUUUUUAUAUUUGUUUCUAGAUUUUUGAAAUCAUUUUUAGAUUUUUCAAUCUCAUCUUCAAGUGAUUUUUCUCUCUUUUCCAGCCAGUUGUUAAGUUCUUUCAAUCAUUUAUUUGAAAGCACCAAUCGAUUAGCUUCAUUGUGAGUUUCUUGAAAAGCUUCAAGCAAUUCACUAUAAUUCUGUUCAUUUAAAGAAGCACAAGAACUUACUUUACUUGAGCUGCAAGAUUCAUCAUCAUCUUCAGCAAUCAAACAGAUGUUUGCUUUCUCAUCUUCACUUGAUGAAGAUCUUAAUGAUGAUACUUCAUUUUCAUCCCAAGUUGUGUAGGCUCUCUUUGUCUUGCUCUUCUUUUCCUUGUAGCUAGGCUUUUUCUCCUUGCUUUUGUUUGGGCAAUCUGCCUUUAUGUGACCUUGCUCACCACAACCAAAACAAGUAUAGUUAUUGGAAUUAAAAUCAUUAGAUUUCUUGUUUCCAUACCUAUCUUUGUUGUUGUCCUUGUUGCGGUUUCUCUUCAAGAAUUUGCUAAAUUUUCUGGAUAGCAAGCUAAGGUUUUCUUCAUCACUAUCAUCGUUGGAUUCUUGUUUGCCUUUGUGCUUGGAAGCUUUUAAGGUUAUACUCCUUACAUGCUUGUCAUCUGAAUUCAAAGCAGAGGUUAUUAUGUUUUUAGCAAUGCAAUCAAAUUUGGCCUUCUUGCUUUCUGAAUCAGUCCAUUGAGACCAAGGAUUUUCAAUGGAAGAUCCAUCUUUUUCAAACUUUGGGACAAAAGGACCAUUUUCAACUGCAUCCCAAAUUCCUUUGUCAAGUGAUUCCACAAAGAUUUUCAUUCUCACUUUCCAAAAUUGGUAGUUCAAACAAAAAAACAGAGGUGGUCUGUUGAUUGAAGCACCUUCCCCAAAAGGUAGUCUAUCAGCCAUUUGAAAAACAGUUUUUAGGAUAAACUUGAAUAACUUUCAAGAACCAAGCUCUUGAUGUUAAUUAUUAGAAUGGAUGGCUUUAAACUAGAGGGGGGUGAACUGUUUAAAGAGGGUUUUCGCAAACUUUUAAGCCAAGAAUGAAAAUACUUCGAGAAACAAAUGACAAGAAAUUCAGUUUUCCAAAACACAAAGCAAAAACAACAACACCAGAAAAACAAUCGGUUGUUCGCAGAAACAAUCGGUUGUUUAUACCAGUUUGCAAAUAUUAAAACUGAAUUUAAAGAGAUUAAGGAUAGAGAGAAUGCACACAGAUGUUUAUACUGGUUCACUCUAAACCCAGAGCUACAUCCAGUCUUCUCAUAAACCACUAAGGAAUUCCACUAAGCAAUCAAACCUAGAUCACUUACACCACAACCAAGGAAGUGACCUUGAUCCCCUCAAGACACACACUUCUCUUGGUCAACACACCAACACUAAGAAUGUUGAUCUUGAUCCCCUCAAGAACACACAACACUUCUCAGCAAACACACAAUGUUUCUUUCAACAAAUAAAAGGAUUACACUUGUUACAUAAUGAAAUCUGAAAUCAAUACAAGAGAAAAUCCUAUCUCACACACUUUGAUCAAUCUCAAUCUCUAAGCAAUCUCAACUCUUUCAAAAUCUGUUCAAAAAAAUCUCUGAAAAACUCAAAUCUGUUUUUCUAUUUGUAAAACAAAGUUGUUGUUUGUUAUCAAAUCUUAACAAACUAUUAAUUGCAUUUAAAGAUUGGUCAAAGCAUUAAAAACUGGAGCGUAAACAGUUGGAAAAUCAUUUAAUGCUCAAUCAAAGCACAAACCAUUUUUCUGUUAUGGUACCAAAACAAACAAUCGGUUGUUUCCUCGAAUCAAUCGGUUGUUUUGGUUUUGACAGCAAGUCAACCAUAAAAACAGUUUUCAACCUUUUCUAAAAACACCUAAGUAUAAAACAAUCGGUUGUUUCGACAAAACAACAGGUUGUUUUUCACUUAGCUUGAAAAACACUUUUCUUUUAAAAAGAUUGAGAGUGCUUAUGCUUUGGAUUCAAUCAAGAGUGGAUUACACAUUAAAUCUACCCCAGAUCCUAUCUAAAGGACAACUCAGCAACAGCAAGCACAGCCAGUCUUCAUCAUCCUUCAAAGGGUUUGGAUUCUUCAAAGCUUGAACACCACUUGGUUCAGCACAUACUUCAAUUGUAAUUUUAUUAGGUGACCUCGUUAAAAAUCCCUUAAAAGGGAAAAGGAGCGUCCUCUUAAAUUGUGUACAAUGCUAGAGUUCAACUGAAAUAAAACUUGAGAUCGAUCGCAUUCUAGGUACGAGGAAUUGCGCCUCCGUUUCCCAGGACCUCCGUCACCCUGAAAGAGCCAGUCCACUUGGGGGACAGCUUGUUCUCUAGCUGAUAUGGGUGGGCCUUGCGCAUUACUAGGUCGACAAUCUGGAACUGCUGAGGCCUUAGCUUCGAGUUGUGCUUGUACUCCACCCUUCUCUUUAACGCUUCAGCUUUAAUUCUUGCCUCCUCUCUGACCUCAUCCAAUAGAUUCAGGUUCACCUUUCUCUCUUCGAUGGACACCUCAGCCACGAAGUUCUGAAAUCGUGGCGAGCUCUCCUGGAUCUCUGCCGAAAUCAUUGCGUCCGAUCCGUACACCAAACUGAAGGGUGUCUCUCUGGUGGUAGACUGAGGCGUGGUGUGGUAAGCCCACACUAUUCUAGGAACCUCCUCUGCCCAGGUCCCCUUGGCCUUCUCAAGCCUUCUCUUCAGACCUCUAAGUAGGACUCUGUUGGCAGGCCCAACCUGCUCAUUUGUCUAGGGGGGCUCAACUGAUGCGAACACCUGCUUUAUUCCAACCUCUGUGCAUAACUUGCCCAAUUGUUGGCUCACAAACUAUGUGCCAUUGUCAGAAACUAGACACCUCGGUAAGCCAAAAUGAUACACUAUAUUCUUCCACACGAAGUGUUGGAUCUUGUGAGAUGUGAUUUGCGCUACUGGCUCAGCCUCUAUCCACUUCGUGAAGUACUCUAUGGCCACUACAAGGUACUUCAUCUGCCUUACCGCCAAAGGAAAGGGCCCCAGAAUGUCGAUUCCCCAUGUGUGAAACGGCCAUGGGCUGUAAAUCAACCUUAGCUCUUCUGGUGGCGCCUUGUGCCAGUCGACGUGUUGUUGACACUGCUUGCACUGCUGGGCGUACCUUGUAUAAUCUUCUCUCAUUGUUGGCCAGUAAUAGCCUGCACGAACGGCCUUCGAUGCCAAGGACCGACCUCCAAUGUGGCUACCACUAAUCCCCUCGUGGAGUUCUGCCAUUAUUCGUGUACACUGGUCUCCACUCACACACACCAAAAUCGGGUGGGUGAACCCAUGUCUGAACAGCUUCCCAUCAACGAGGGUGUAUUUGGCGGAGUUCCUCUUUAUCUUCUUGGCUUCAGCGGGCUCCAAUGGAAGCACCCCAUCAGCUAGAUAGCCCCUAUAGGGUGUCAUCCAUGUCCCCCUCCUCAACUAUGCAUAUCUGCAUUGGCUCCCCCUCCAAGGUCGGGUAAGCGCUUACACUAGGCCUUCCCAACGUCUCUUGAGUCAAUGAUCAAUGACUCCUCGCCCUUCCACUAGUCGUACUGACCUAAUGAAUGCCCACCCUGUUAUCAGUAACAAAAAUUCGCGGUGCCUUGAGGGUUUCCUGUAUGACCGUCCUCUGGCUUCCCCCAUUGCCCGAACUGGCGAGCUUGGCCAGCAAGUCAACUCGGGUGUUCUGCUAUCUUGGGACAUGCACUAGCUUGAACACUGCAAAUGAGCCCUUUAAGAUCUGGACGUAUCCUAAGUACACGGCCAUCUGUGGAUCUUUGGCUUGAUAUUCCCCGGUCACCUGACCUGUGACUAAAAGGGAAUCGCUCUUUGCCAAUAAGUUAUGCGCUCCCAUUUCUUUGGCUAAGAGCAUCCCGACUAUGAGGGCAUCAUACUCCGUUUGAUUGUUGCUGCCUUGAAAGUGAACCUUAGGGCCUACUCAAUCAAUAGCCCGUUCGGUCCUUCCAAGAUCACGCCAGCUCUAUUGCCUUGUAGGUUGGAUGACCCAUCCACUGAGAGCACCCAUCUGAAGUUGGCCUCCUCCUCUUGUUGUGCAUCUGUCGGGGAGAGCUCUACCACAAAAUCCGCAUACACCUGGCCUUUGAUGAGGCCUCGGGGUUCAUACUGAAUAUCAAACUUCGAGAGCUCCACUGCCUAACGUACCAUCCUUCCUGCCACGUCCGGCUUCUGCAACACCUUUCAGAUAGGCAAGUUUGUCAUCACCACCACUGUGAAACUUUGGAAGUAAUGACGAAGCCUAAACACCACAGCCAGGGCCACCUUCUCUAGGGCUUGGUAUCUCACCUCCGGCCCUUGCAAUACUUUGCUCACAAAGUAUAUUGGUUUCUGUACUUGGUCCUGCUCUUGGACGAGGACCAAACUAAUUGCCUGCUCCAUCACAGCGAAGUACAAUGGAUCGGCGUACCCAACUGUGACUUGCACAACACGGGAGGGGUAGCUAGAUACUCCUUUAACUUAAGGAAUGCCUUCUCGCACUCUUCAGUCCACACGAACCAGUUAUUCCUCCUUAAACACUGGAAGUAGGGGUGACCCUUGUCCCCUUCAGCUGAUACAAACCUGGACAAGGCGACCAUCCGCCCUGUCAACUGCUGCACCUCCUUCACCGAGGUCGGGCUCCUCAUGGCAAGGAUUGCCGCACACUUCGCCGGGUUCGCCUCUAUCCCACGCUCGAUGAGUAGGAAACCCAAGAACUUUCCUGCCUCGACCCCGAACACGCACUUCUUAGGGUUUAGCUUCAAACGGUACUUAGUUAUUGUUGCAAAUAGCUUUUCCAGAUCAGACACAUGUUGACCCCUCGCCUGCAAGGUCACCACAAUGUCAUCCAUGUAGGCCUACACAUUCCUGCCUAUCAUGGGUGCAAGGACCCUAUCCAUCAGCCUCUGGUAGGUAGCGCCCGCAUUCUUCAGCCUGAAGGGCAUCACCGUGUAGUAUUAACAAGACGUCUCGGUCAUAAACGUUGUCUUGCACUCGUCUCUGGGUGCAUCUUAAUCUGGUUAUACCCAAAGAAAGCGUGUAAGAAGCUAAGCAUCUUGCAGCCUAAGGCGUUGUCCACCAAGGCGUCGAUGCUUGGUAAGGGGUACGAAUCCUUCGGGCAUGCCUUGUUGAGGUCGGUGAAGUCCACGCACAUUCUCCACUUCCCAUUGGCCUUCUUUACUAAGACCACAUUUUCCAACCAUUCAGGGUAUUGGAUCUCCCUUAUGUGGUUGGCACUCAGCAAUUUCUUUGUUUCUUCCUUGAUGACCUGCCGCCUCUCUUCGUUGAACUUCCUUCUUCUCUAGCGGACGAGUCUGGCCUUGGGGUCCAUGGUGAGGCGGUGACACAGGUAAUCUGGGUCUAUGCCUGGCAUGUCUGAGGCGGACUAUGCAAAAGCAUCCAAGUGUCGUGCUAUCACCCCAGCAACUUGAUCUUGCUCAGCUUGGUUCAACAACUUACCAAGCUUGAAUGUUCUGCCCCCGAUCUGUCUCUCCACGAUAUCCCCUGCUGGCUCGGGUCGCCUCUCUCGAGCGCUUUCUUCAUAGGAGACCCCUACGCGGGCGUCUCCGUCUCUGCUAGGUGGGUGCUCGGUAACCAUGAACACCCCCCUCUUUCUCUUGAGGUUGUUCUCAUAGCACCUCUUAGCCUCUUGCUAGUCCGACAUGAUGGUUAUCAUCUUCCCACUCAAGUCCAGCAACUUCAUCUUCAUAUGGCGUGUUGAUGCUACCGCCCUUAGCCUAUUCAAAGUUGGUCUCCCCAACAAAAUAUUAUAGGCGGAGGAAGCAUUAACCACCAAGUACCUUAUGUUCUCCGUGCGGGAUGCAAAGCCAUCCGUAAAGGUGGUCCUUAGCUCCAAAUGCCCCCGCACCUCCACCUGGUCUCCCGCGAAGCCAUACAAGCAUCCAGUGUAAGGCCUCAGCUGAUCGGGAGACAGCUGCAGCUUAUUAAAGGUGGACCAAAACAUCACAUCCGCCGAGCUGCCUUGGUCUACUAGCACUCGGUGCACCUUCCUUCCCGCGGUUACAACAGAAACACCACAGGGUCGUUAUCAUGAGGAACGACGUCUCAAAGAUCGGCCUUCGUGAAAGUAAGGUCGACGUUGAGCACGUCAUCCACCGCUUGCGCCUCUACUGACAUCACCGAUCGUGCAUACCUCUUGCGCUAAGAAGCAGUGCAUCCUCCACCUAAGAAACCCCUGAGAAGGUGUGGAUCUAUCCAUGUAUGGGCAUCUCGUGCCCUUGGUCCUCACCUGAUGCUGCUGAGGUCUCAGUCCUCUGUGGCUCCGCCAGGUAGUCGUUUAGGAACCCACUCUUCACCAGCUCGUCCAACUGGUGUCCUAACGCUAAGCAAUUGCGUAUGGGAUGACCAAAUGCUUGGUGAAACUCGCACCAAGCCUCCUUGUGAGGUCCCAGCUUCUUUUCAGUCUUGGGCGGCAUCUUCAACCUCUCUCCUAUGUUGGGCACAGCUAUCAAAUCCUUCAAUUCUACCACAAAAUUAUGCCUCAAAGGCUUAUUCUCCCUUGCGCGCCCCCUGGUCUGAGGCUUCCUAGGCUCGUAGGGUUGCUUCUUCGCGGGGCUCCUCUUCUCUGUUGUAGCCUCAUGCACUCUUAUUGGUUGUGCAUGCACCGGCACUCAUGGGCGCGUGGGAACAACACGCGCACACUUCUCAUUCAUCUCCCCUUCAACUGCGAUGAGAGCCACCGCUCGACGCCUUAUCUCAACGAAGGUUUUGGGGCGACUCCUUUCUGAACGCGUGAACCAUCAUCGUUUCAUCCUUGGUGUUAAGCUUCACCACCUGCGCCCCAAAACGGUUAAAAAACUCAUUCAGCGACUCACCCUGGUAUUGUCUUACAUCUAAGAGAUCGUAAGAGUUGGGUGGGGGGGCGCGAUUCGCAAUGUACUGCUCCCUGAUCAAUUUCGACAAUUGUGCGAACGACGUCACGUGGCCAUUCUGGGGGGCUGAUGAACCAAUCCAUCGUCGUCCCUACCAGCGUGCUCAUGAACAACUUACACCUUACUGCAUCAGAACCACCAACCAGCAUCAUCUACGUGUGGAAAGCUGUGAGAUGGGGCUCUAGAUCGUCCAUCUUGGUGAACGUGGCUUUCGGUCCCACAAACGUAGCUGGUAUCACAGCAUCCAUAAUCGUCUGCGAGAAAGGCAUGGGAAACUCCUUGGGAGGAGUCACACAUUCUUGUUCCUCUGUUUCACGAUCCCUUGCCUGGUUUCGCAAAUCACGCCACAACCCUUCAUUGGUUCGGUGUAGCUCUUCGUUUCUCGCUCGCGACGCAGCCAGAUCAAUCUGGAUGCGUUCUUGAUCAGCUAUUGAUGUUGCCAUCGCUUCUUGAAGGCCCUACAUCAUCUCCAUAACUUUUUGCAGGGUAAGACCUUCUCCCCCGAUUGGCGCAGCGGAUCCUUGCCUCGUAUUCCUCAUCUUGAUCAAUUCUUGAUGAAUCUUGGUGGAUCUUUCUCAGUUCUUGCAGUUGGGACAGUCGUUUUAGAUCGUGCCCCACGGUGGGCUCCAAAUGUUCUCGCCGGUUGACCUAUAGCGUCUUCGUGCGUCUACGACAAUCGCGCGUCCAAGAAUCCCUCCUCCUUACGUGCCUUUCCAAUGACGAAAUCACCUGAAAACAAAGAGACAAAGGGCAUCCUCGCGGCCGUUUGCACUUUGACGCUCAAGUCAAACACCGAGCAAAGAAACACCAAAAACUCUAGAACUCUAAGAGCUUUGUGUAACUGUGUGUCUUUUCACAUUAGAAUUGCAUACCUUAUUAUGGUGGUUAUUACCCUUUAUAUACUCUUUAGUGUUUUUGCCCCUUUCGCUAACUGUGACUUAGACUUACCGUAGGUGUGUUUUAGCGACACUAUCACCCAUUCUUAGGGCCAUCUAGUCCGUAAAACUCCCUUACUGAAGUGCAACCCCCGCGGGAUGACCACUUGGGUGCCAACUCAUGCACCCAAUCUCUGGGCCAUCCGCCCUGAGAGUGUCCUACCUUAUUCAUGUGCCAUGCAUGCAUGUCCUACCAAGUUUGAAUUUUGAAAUUGUUAAAUACCAAAACAUGAAAGAAGUUAACAUCAUGAAUCAGGAAACGCUUAAAGGAAAAGGAAAAAUUGUUCAAAGAACAAAAACAUAGAAAAGAUGUAACACAAUUUGGGAAAAAGACCUACGAAUACUAACAUAAGACAAGCAAAACAAUGUCAGAAAAAGAACAUACAACAAAACCAAAUCAAAAAUAUUUUGAAAUACUCAAAAUCUUAAAGACUUUGAAAACAAAACAUAGAAAAAAAGUAACACGGUUUUGGAAAAUAAUCACGAAUAUUGACAUAAGGCAAGCAUAACAGUGUAAAAAAAAUACAACAAAAUCAAACCAAAAAUAUUUUGAAUUACUCAAAACCCCACUAACUUUAAACACAAUUAAACACAAAAAUUAGUUGAUGACUCCUAAAACGAUUAAAAAUAAACAAUAAGUCUAUAAAAACAUUAAAACCACAAAUACUAAAAUAAGGCAAGCAGAACCGUGUAAAAAAAAACAUACAACAAAACCAAACCAAAAAUAUUUUCAAAUACUUAGAACCCUAAUGACUCUGAAAACGAUUAAACACAAAAAUUAACUGAUGACUUCUAAAACGAUUAAAAAUAAAAAUUAAGCUUUAAAAGCAUAUAUCUUUGAGAGAAAGACUUUGAAAUACAGAUAAAUAGCCGAUUAAAAGUUCAACCCAUAAAUACUCAUAAACCCUAAUUAGUAAAGGAUUAAAAUCAAACAUUAACCUUAAAAAAAACCAAUUUCAAAUCAUAAGUAUAUUACCACGAACAAAACCAUGGAAAAGAUGUAACACGAUUUGGGGAGAAGAAUCAACAGAUGCCUCAGUUUUGCUUUUCCAAGCGUACCAAAAAAGGCCAAUAUCUUCCGUUGGCGUGGUUGAGGAUACGAUGGUUGAAGAUACGAUGCCUUCAUUUUCACAAAGAAGGAAGUUAUGAAAGUAUAGGUGGUUGUGAUAAAAGAGAGUAAAAGAAGAAAGGGCAACGUGAGAGAGGACGAGCUAUGAAAGGGUUUCAAAAUAGCGAAAAAGAA